UACGAAGGGGGCUAGCGUUGUUCGGAUAUACUGGGCGUAAAGCGCACGUAGGCGGCGCCGUAAGUCAGGGGUGAAAUCCCGGAGCUCAACUCCGGAACUGCCCUUGAAACUGCAGUGCUAGAAUCCUGGAGAGGCGAGUGGAAUUCCGAGUGUAGAGGUGAAAUUCGUAGAUAUUCGGAAGAACACCAGUGGCGAAGGCGACUAUCUGGACAGAAACUGACGCUGAGACGCGAAAGCGUGGGGAGCAAACAGG
rnacentral:rRNA from 1 species